GCACCACACCCAGGUGGUAUGUGGGUUACAAAAGCAGCAGUCUGUUGGACUAUGUUGAGUUAUGUUUUUAAAGCACACCAGCACUUGCCUAUUUCUUGUGGAAUGCAGUGGAUAUCAAGGGAGUUUUUUGGUAUGGUGGAUGGCUGUCUUGGCCAGUGGCCAGAGGAGGUUCAUGAGGAGGUCCUGCAACUUUGUGGGGCCACAAAUGGAGUGUGCAAGGACCAGAGCGGAAUACAGGCUGUCCCAGGGGGUUCCUUGCCCUCCUUGGGUGGCAGCAGUUCCCACCCUCAGUGCUGGGACAGGACAUGAGGGUGCCCAACUUGGGACCUUGGUGUUUAACUUCUACAAGUACUGAGCACUCACAGCUGCAAGUGAAGUUAAUGGGAGCUGUAUAUGAAUACAUCAAGUGCUAGUGUAAUGCUAAGUACUCUGAAAAAUCAGGCCCAAUGUGAAUUGGCACCCAAAAUUUGUGAAUUUUUACUCUAAUCUCUCUAUGCCUCU